CAAGGCGACGAUGCGUAGCCGACGUGAGAGGGUGAUCGGCCACACUGAGACUGAGACACGGCCCAGACUCCUACGAGAGGCAGCAGUAGGGAAUCUUCCGCAAUGGACGAAAGUCUGACGGAGCAAUGCCGCGUGAGUGAGGAAGGCCUUCGGGUCGUAAAGCUCUGUUGUGAGGGAAGAACAAGUACCGGCGUAACUACCGGUACCGUGACGGUACCUCACCAGAAAGCCACGGCUAACUACGUGCCAGCAGCCGCGGUAAUACGUAGGUGGCAAGCGUUGUCCGGAAUUAUUGGGCGUAAAGCGCGCGCAGGCGGCUUCUUAAGUCUGAUGUGAAAUCUCGGGGCUCAACCCCGAGCGGCCAUUGGAAACUGGGAAGCUUGAGUACAGAAGAGGAGAGUGGAAUUCCACGUGUAGCGGUGAAAUGCGUAGAUAUGUGGAGGAACACCAGUGGCGAAGGCGACUCUCUGGUCUGUAACUGACGCUGAGGCGCGAAAGCGUGGGGAGCAAACAGGAUUAGAUACCCUGGUAGUCCACGCCGUAAACGA
rnacentral:rRNA from 2 species